UACAGAGGGGGCAAGCGUUAUUCGGAAUUAUUGGGCGUAAAGGGCGCGUAGGCGGCUUUGCAAGUGACGGGUGAAAUCCCUCGGCUUAACCGAGGAACUGCCUGUCAAACUGCAUGGCUUGAGACCGGGAGAGGUGAGUGGAAUUCCCAGUGUAGCGGUGAAAUGCGUAGAUAUUGGGAGGAACACCAGUGGCGAAGGCGGCUCACUGGACCGGUACUGCCGCUGAUGCGCGAAAGCGUGGGGAGCAAACAGG
rnacentral:rRNA from 1 species